AAAAAGGAUAGAAGGCCUCAAACUCCGGUGUUUGUGUGCAAACACACAUCAGAUAUCUAAUCUCUGAGAGAGGGUCCCUUAUUGAACUCGGAGCUCACCAACUGAGCUACAACCCUGGGAUUCACCCUAUCUCCCUCCCUUGUGUGCCCCUUCCCCCAGCAUCACGAUCGUGGAUAGACACCUGUUUUUAAGUCUGUGCCAGGGUUUGAACUCAGAUAGAUUCCCCAUGCUCUGCUGACUGAGAGCAUGACCCCUAGUCCUGUAUCUCAAACUCCUUGCUGCUUCAGCAAGGCAGCAAGGCAGCAAGGCAAGCCAGCUCAGAGCCAAGUUCAUGAACACAGACCACGAGGGAGACCCUUUGCAGUGAGUCGUUCCUUACAUAUUUUUCUCAAUGGCAUCCAUACUCUGGCAAUAAGAGUUUUUUGUUUCUUGUUUGUUUGUCUGUUUUGUUUUAUACCAUACCAUUAGAAUUUUGAGAGUGUCUGCUUGAUUUGUGUUUAUGAAACUAAAUUCAUUAGAAUGUGAAAAUAACCCUCAGCGGUUUUCUAACUUGGAAGCUUAUUUUUGAUAUUUUUGAACAUCCAUUCUCACUUGAAUGUCAUGUUUUAGUGGCUUUUUUUUUUCCCCCUCCAAGAGUUGAUAGAAUAUUCUUCUAUACAGAAGUGCUUGGUGAGUCUGGAUGUGACUCGGAGCUUGGCAUGGUUGCUUGGAGUUUGUGUGGCAGAAGGCAAUUGUGGAGAACUUAACCUGCUCCAGGCAACCGGUUCAGAGACUGGCCAGAAACUCCUUCCCCAUUCUGCCAGUGGAGUGAUAGACAAGUCUAAUACUGGGGAGCUCCAGGGUUUUUUUUUAUCCGAAGUGGAGAUGCCUGUGUUUCUAACCUUACUGGUUAGAGUAAGGUACUUCAGUGCGUACUCGAUUUCACUGGUUGGUAACAUUUUAACAUCUCUGUAAUCGUGGUUAUUAAAUCAAUCCACGCCAUAUCUUGACAGCUGUUUUUCCUCGCUUGUGGUUUAUAAAGUCAUUCUGGUCUAAGUUUUACUUUAUGGUGCCAGAGACUGAACCUGGAGCUUCUCAUAUACUACACAGUUUGCUCUUCUAUUUGAAGAUAGGGCCACAACAACUAAGUUUGUAAUCCUCCUGUCUCAGUCUCCUGCCCAGCUCCCUGCUAUCUCUGGACUACAUACACUGCAUGGAUGGUCAUCUCCCUCUGCCUCCCAGGCCCUCUAGCUUCCCCCAAGAGUCUGUUGGCUUGGCUUCGGCCUGUGGAAGAGCCUGAUUCCAAUACACAUCUGUUUGUAAUCAAGUGAGUUAGAGAAAUCAGGUUGUUUUUUUUUUUUUUUCCGUUCUGGACAGGAGGCUAAAUUUCUUCCCUAAGAUUUCAGGAUGCAUCCCUCCAAAACUGAGAAUCCUCUACCAGGUGGUUUCAGGAUCUUCCCUGAUGCAAGAGCGAUGGCUAGUAUUGCAUCAAGGGUCACCGCAGUUGAGUCUUUUAUCGAAGUAUGUGCUUUUAUCGCAGUGUCCUGCCAUCUGGCAAUGAAAAUGGAGUGGAUGCCGCCUCAACCUUUUAGAGUGUCUGCACUGUAUUUUAACUGGGAAGUUACAUGCAUUUUCUCUACUUAAUACUUUAAAAAGCCUCUUGGGUACUGAGAGAGGCUUGUAAGUACAGCUGCCUGUGACCUACUCUGGAACGGGAACUUCGCAUUGAGAAAUCCCACUUUAUUUAAUGGCAGCCUUGUUAGAAUCAUGUGUUGUUUAGCAGUGUCCUUCCAAAGGGACCUGACAAGCUGUUGAGCC
rnacentral:lncRNA from 1 species